rnacentral:rRNA from 1 species
AUUGAACGCUGGCGGCAGGCCUAACACAUGCAAGUCGAACGGCAGCACAGAGCGCUUGCUCUCUGGUGACGAGUGGCGGACGGGUGAGUAACGUCUGUGAAACUGCCUGAUGGAGUGGGAUAACUACGGGAAACGGUAGCUAAUACCCCAUAAUGUCGCACGACCAAAGAGGGGGACACUCUGGCCCCUUGCCAUCAGAUGUGCCCAGAUGGGACCGGCUAGUAGGUCGGGUAAUGGCUCACCUAGGCGACCAUCCCUAGCUGGGCUGAGAGGAUGACCAGCCACACUGGAACUGAGACACGGUCCAGACUCCUACGGGAGGCAGCAGUGGGGAAUAUUGCACAAUGGGCGCAAGCCUGAUGCAGCCAUGCCGAGUGUAUGAAGAAGGCCUUCGGGUUGUAAAGUACUUUCAGCGGGGAGGAAGGUGUUGCGGUUAAUAACCGCAGCAAUUGACGUUACCCGCAGAAGAAGCACCGGCUAACUCCGUGCCAGCCGCCGCGGUAAAAC